UUCUUGAUUCAUGACCCGUAAAAAUGUAUUAAACUACAUUGUUGCCUUAGCCAGCAGCAAUUACACCAUACAGUACCAGUCAAAAGUUUGGACACACCUACUCAUUCAAGGGUUUUUCUUUAUUUUACUAUUUUCUACAGUGCCUUGCAAAAGUAUUCACCCUCCUUGGUGUUUUUCCUAUUUUGUUGCAUUACAACCUGUAAUUUAAAUAAAUUUUUAUUUGGAUUUCAUGUAAUGGACAUAAACAAAAUAGUCCAAAUUGGAGUGAAAUGAAAAAAAUUAACAGAAAAGUGCUGCGUGAAUAUUUAUUCACCCCCUUCGCUAUGAAGCCCCUAAAUAAGAUCUGGUGCAACCAAUUGCCUUCAGAAGUCAUAUAACUAGUUAAAUAAAGUCCACUGUAUAUACACCUGUUCUGAAAGGCCCUAGAGUCUGCAACACCACUAAGCAAGCGGCACUAUGAAGACCAAGGAGCUCUCCAAACAGGUCAGGGACAAAGUUGUGGAGAAGUACAGAUCUGGGUUGGGUUAUAAAAAAAUAUCUGAAACUUUUAACAUCCCACGGAGCACCAUUAAAUCCAUUAUUAAAAAAUAUAUUUUAUAUUUGAGAUUCUUCAAAGUAGCCAACCUUUGCCUUGAUGAAAGCUUUGCACACUCUUGGCAUUCUCUCAGCCAGCUUCACCUGGAAUGCUUUUCCAACAGUCUUGAAGGAGUUCCCACAUAUGAUGAGCACUUGUUGGCUGCUUUUCUUUCACUCUGCGGUACAACUAUUCCCAAACCAUCUCAAUUGGUUUGUGGUUGGGUGAUUGUGGAGGCCAGGUCAUCUGAUGCAGCACUCCAUCACUCUCCUUCUUGGUCAAAUAGCCCUUACACAGCCUGGAGGUGUGUUGGAUCACUGAUAUUGAGAUGUGUCUGUUACUUGAACUCUGUGAAGCAUUUAUUUGGGUUGCAAUGACUGAGGCUCGUCUGAGGCUGGUAAUGAACUUAUUCUCUGCAGCAGAGGUAACUCUGGGUCUUCCUUUCCUGUGGCGGUCCUCAUGAGAGCCAGUUUCAUCAUAACGACUGCAUUUGAAGAAACUUUCCAAGUUCUUGAAAUGUUCCAUAUUAACUGAUCUUCAUGUCUUAAAGUAAUAAUGGUCUGUUGUUUCUCUUUACUUAUUUGAGCUGAUCUUGCCAUAAUAUGGACUUGUUCUUUUGCCAAAUAGGGCUAUCUUCUGUAUACCACCCCUACCUUGUCACAACACAACUGAUUGGCUCAAAUACAUUAAGAAGGAAAUAAAUUCCACAAGUUAACUUUUAACAAAGCACACCUGUCAAUUGAAAUGCAUUCCAGGUGACUACCUCAUGAAGCUGGUUGAGAGAACACCAAGAGUGUGCAAAGCUGUCAUCAAGGCAAGGGUUGGCUACUUUGAAGAAUACAUUUUUAAAAAUAUAUUGUGAUUUGUUUAACACUUUUUUGAUUACUACAUGAUUCCAUAUGUGUUAUUUCAUAGUUUUGAUGUCUUCACUAUUAUUCUACAAUGUAGAAAAUAGUAAAAAUAAAUAAAACCUUUGAAUAAGUAGGUAUUCUAAAACUUUUGACUGGUACUGUAUAUACAAAGUAUGUGGACACCCCUUCAAAUUAGUGUAUACAGCUAUUUCAGUUGGAAUCACGAUUCUGUGCUUCCAACUUUGUGGCAACAGUUUGGGGAAGACCCUAUUCUGUUUUGCAUGACAAUGCCCCCCAUGCACAAAGCGAGGUCCAUACAGAAAUGUUUUGGCGAGAUCCGUGUGGAAGAACUUGACAGGCCUGCACAGAGGCCUGACCUCAACCCCAUCGAAAACCUUUGGGAUGAAUUGGAACGCCGACUGCAAGCCAGGCCUAAUCUCCCAACAUCAGUUCCGACCACACUAAUGUUCUUGUGGCUGAAUGGAAGCAAGUCCCUGUAGCAACAUUCCAACAUCUAGUGGAAAGCCUUCCCAAAAGAGUGGAGGCUGUUAUCGUAGCAAAAGGGGGACAAAUUUCAAAUGAAUGCCAAUCAUUUUGGAAUGAGAUGUUAGAGAACCAGGUGCCCACAUACUUUUGGUCAUGUAGUGUAUACUGGACAAUGUUGAAUACAGUGGGGGGGGAAAGUAUUUAAUCCCCUGCUGAUUUUGUACGUUUGCCCACUUACAAAGAAAUGAUCAGUCUAUAAUUUUAAUGGUAGGUUUAUAUGAACAGUGAGAGACAGAAUAACAACAAAACAAUCCAUAAAAACGCAUGUCAAGAAUGUUAUAAAAUGAUUUCCAUUUUAAUGAGGGAAAUAAGUAUUUGACCCCUCUGCAAAACAUUACUUAGUACUUGGUGGCAAAAGCCUUGUUGGCAAUCACAGAGGUCAGAUGUUUCUUGUAUUUGGCCACCAGGUUUGCACACAUCUCAGGAGGGAUUUUGUCCCACUCCUCUUUGCAGAUCUUCUCCAAGUCAUUAAGGUUUCGAGGCUGACGUUUGGCAACUCAAACCUUCAGCUCCCUCCACAGAUUUUCUAUGGGAUUAAGGUCUGGAGACUGGCUAGGCCACUCCAGGACCUUAAUGUGCUUCUUCUUGAGCUACUCCUUUGUUGCCUUGGUCGUGUGUUUUGGGUCAUUGUCAUGCUGGAAUACCCAUCCACGACCCAUUUUCAAUGCCCUGGCUGAGGGAAGGAGGUUCUCACUCAAGAUUUGACAGUACAUGGCCCCGUCAAAUGAUGCGGUGAAGUUGUCCUGUCCCAUUGGCAGAAAAACACCCCCAAAGCAUAAUGUUUCCACCUCCAUGUUUGACGGUGGAGAUGGUGUUCUUGGGGUCAUAGGCAGCAUUCCUCCUCCUCGAGUUGAGUUGAUGCCAAAGAGCUCCAUUUUGGUCUCAUCUAACCACAACACUUUUACCAGUUGUCCUCUGAAUCAUUCAGAUGUUCAUUGGCAAACUUCAGACAGGCAUGUAUAUGUAUUCUUGAGCAGGGGGACCUUGCGGGCGCUGCAGGAUUUCAGUCCUUCACGGCGUAGUGUGUUACCAAUUGUUUUCUUGGUGACAAUGGUCCCAGCUGCCUUGACAUCAUUGACAAGAUCCUCCCGUGUAGUUCUGGGCUGAUUCCUCACCUGUUCUCAUGAUCAUUCCAACCCCACGAGGUGAGAUCUUACAUGGAGCCCCAGGCCGAGGGAUAUUGACAGUUCUUUUGUGUUUCUUCCAUUUGCGAAUAUUCGCACCAAAUGUUGUCACCUUCUCACCAAGCUGUUUGGUGAUGGUCUUGUAGCCCAUUCCAGCCUUGUGUAGGUCUACAAUCUUGUCCCUGACAUCCUUGGAGAGCUCUUUGGUCUUGGCCAUGGUGGAGAGUUUGGAAUCUGAUUGAUUGAUUGCUUCUGUGGACAUGUGUCUUUUUUACAGGUAACAAGCUGCGGUUAGGAGCACUCCCUUUAAGAGUGUGCUCCUAAUCUCAGCUCGUUACCUGUAUAAAAGACACCUGGGAGCCAGAAAUCUUUCUGAUUCAGAGGGGGUCAAAUACUUAUUUCCCUCAUUAAAAUGCAAAUCAAUUUAUAACAUUUUUGACAUGCGUUUUUCUGGAUAUUUUUUGUUGUUGUUAUUCUGUCUCUCACUGUUCAAAUAAACCUACCGUUAAAAUUAUAGACUGAUCCUUUCUUUAUCCGUGGGCAAACGUACAAAAUCAGCAGGGGAUCAAAUACUUUUUUCCCCCACUGUAGGUCUUUACCCACAAAAUGCUAUUUUGAAGAAAUAUAUGUUCAUAAAUCUGCAUCAUUUUUCUAUUUGAAGAAGAGUGUUGUAGAAUAUAAAGUAUUCUGAGUGAAAAGUUUGAACCCAAAUUGCUUGUGGUCCACUUGUGAGUUAAUCUAUGGGAAAUAUUUUGUGAGGAUCUAACUUCUUACCCCAUUGGUCAUCGACCAUGUACACAUUUACAUUCAAUGUGCACUGUCAAUGCAAUCUGCUUUUAUACAUUCAAAGACAUAUGUUUUAUGUGAUCAUUACUUCAUUAUAAUGUACAAUCGAAUCAACUUUCAUGUACGUAAGUCUCAAAUGGGUACAUGAAGUUGAGUGCUAGCCUAUGCUAAGCUAAGAGGAAGGUGAUUUGAAUGUAUCCAGGAAGUGCCAAUGUGUCAGUUGUUUGCCUGUCUGCUUGAAUAUGUUGUGUAAACCCUUUGCUUGUACGCUCUCUCGUAAAGCCUUACAAGCUGUUAUAGACAAGUAGUGAAGACAUUUGAUAAUUUGACAUACUGACUUAUACCGGCUGUAUUUCUGCCCAAGAGGGCAAAAUAAGAACAUGAAAUGACACCGAGAAUCGAUAGAACAUUGCUCAAAGAUUCCCAAAAACGAUAACAUUCAAAAUGAUUUAAUUUUUCCUUUAAGGUGCUCUUAUGACAGAGGGUUCACGUAACAUGUUGCACACUUUUCCCGAUCGGCUGUGUGUUCACAUUAUAUGCGGUUUCAUUGCAGUAGCACAUAUCUCCAUUGCUCCUUGUAAAAAACAAUUGAACUGCAGCUGUAAAAUGUUGUAAUAAUAAAGUAUUGUACCAUGACUCUGGUAAACCCUGUAAGUUGCCCUUCAGAUGACAUCUGCCAAAACUGAAUAAAUUACUAUAUAAUGAC
rnacentral:lncRNA from 1 species